rnacentral:rRNA from 1 species
UACGGAGGAUCCAAGCGUUAUCCGGAUUUACUGGGUUUAAAGGGUGCGUAGGCGGAUUGAUAAGUCAGUGGUGAAAUCCUGCAGCUUAACUGCAGAAUUGCCGUUGAUACUGUUAGUCUGGAGUAUGGUUGAGGUAGCUGGAACGUGUCGUGUAGCGGUGAAAUGCUUAGAGAUGACACAGAACACCAACGGCGAAGGCAGGUUACCAACCCAUUACUGACGCUGAGGCACGAAAGCGUGGGGAGCAAACAGGAUUAGAUACC